rnacentral:rRNA from 1 species
AUACGGAGGGUGCAAGCGUUAAUCGGAAUUACUGGGCGUAAAGCGCGCGUAGGCGGUUUGGUAAGUCGGAUGUGAAAGCCCCGGGCUCAACCUGGGAAUUGCAUUCGAUACUGUCAGGCUAGAGUAUGGUAGAGGGAAGCGGAAUUCCAGGUGUAGCGGUGAAAUGCGUAGAUAUCAGGAGGAACAUCAGUGGCGAAGGCGGCUUCCUGGAUCAAUACUGACGCUGAGGUGCGAAAGCGUGGGGAGCAAACAGGAUUAGAUACCCGAGUAGUCC